AGAAUGAACGCUGGCGGCAUGCCUAACACAUGCAAGUCGAACGAGACCUUCGGGUCUAGUGGCGCACGGGUGCGUAACGCGUGGGAAUCUGCCCCUUGGUUCGGAAUAACAGCGAGAAAUUGCUGCUAAUACCGGAUAAUGACGUAAGUCCAAAGAUUUAUCGCCUAGGGAUGAGCCCGCGUAGGAUUAGCUAGUUGGUGUGGUAAAGGCGCACCAAGGCGACGAUCCUUAGCUGGUCUGAGAGGAUGAUCAGCCACACUGGGACUGAGACACGGCCCAGACUCCGUACGGGAGGCAGCAGGUGGGGAAUAGUUGGAACAAGUGGGACGAAAG
rnacentral:rRNA from 1 species